GAGGAAAGUCCGGGCUCCAUAGGGCAGGAUGCCAGUUAACGGCUGGGUGCUAUACGUCGCAAGACCAAGGCAACGGACAGUGCAACAGAGAACAGACCGCCGAUGGCUUUGGGCUGUGCCGCUGCUUGCAGCGGAAAAGUCCCUUUAGCAGAGCGAUGAUCGUUUCGACGGCCAGCGUUUUGCGGGGGGCGAGGCCCAAAGAUCAGGUAAGGGUGAAACGGCGAGGUAAGAGCUCACCGCGCUGGCGGUAACGUUCAGCGGCACGGUGAACCCCAUCCGGAGCAAGACCAAAUAGGGAAGCAUUAGGCGUGGCCCGCGCUGCUUCCGGGUAGGUUGCUUGAGCCUGUCGGUGACGGCAGGCCUAGAGGAAUGAUUGCCGAACCCCGCAAGGGGGGAACAGAACCCGGCUUA
rnacentral:RNase_P_RNA from 1 species